CGUGACCUUGGGCACUGCGACCACUCCCGCGACUCCCGCCAUGCCCCUUGAACGAAUGAAUGAACCACGGGCACCGCGGCCUGGGCAACGCGGACUCCACGAAAACAGAUCGCACGCAGAGGCCUAAUAAGGCCUAUAUAUUUUGUAUUUGAAAUGCAAACAGCCUUUUCGUGGAGACGACGCUCAGAGCAGCUGGAACUGAACAAGAGGAAGAAGGACAACGGGCUAUGAAACAAAAUUUGAUCUUUUUUUCUUGCUAUCGGCCAUGUUUGAUUGUGUUGUGUUGGUUAUUGACCAUUCUAACCCGCGAACUUGGGUUAUGUUUAUCAGCGUUACUAUAGAGAUCAUGACGAUAGCUGAUGUAACGGGGGUCCGGGCGUGUGCAGGACCGAACGGCCGCUGUCACUCCAGUUUGUUUUGGUUUGACCACAGGCAGCACGGAGGCAGAACGGAUCGCGAUCAUCUUAAUGGUCCCAUGGCAUGAAAAUCUCACUUUAUGAGGUUUUCUAAUAUAAAUAUGAGUUCCCCUAGCCCUAGCCUGUCUAUGGUCCCCCAGUGGCUAAAACUUCCGUUUGUACGUAGUAGUAGUACGACCAUAUAGAGGCUGUGCCUAUAUGGAACAAGUUGUGGGGCUCUGGAGUCAACAUUGGCGAUGCUAUUGACAUUUUUGCCAAAUAGAAAUUCCUCAGAAAUCAGAAGAGAUAUAAUUUUCCAAACUAAAGGUUGUAGUAAGACCAUAUAGAGGCCAUGCCUAUGAUUUGGAGCUCUAGAUUCAACAAUGGCGACGCUAUUGAAAUUUGACUAUUGUCGUCAUUUUCGGUUCUACACUUUGCAGACGGUCCCUCAGCUCGCGGCUGAAAGCCGACAGCUCAUGUAAGACAAUGCAAUUCACCGUUCUCUAAAGACGACUCGUUUGGAUGAAAACAGGUUCUCUAGGUUACUACAUUUAGCUAGAGGUGUCAUAUGUGUCGCAACAAUGUUUCACUGAUGAUCUAUUGAUCCGCAAACUCAGAAUCUGCCAAUUUCUUUCCAUCUGUACGUCAUCUCAGCCAUGUGGUUUAUCCAAGGUUUCUCGGGUCAGCUUCCCACCCCCUGUCUCCUGGAAUGAUUUCCU